AUGACGGGUAAUGAAAGCAGUGUCCACAGACAUAUGCUUCUUCAUAUAUGGAACAGUGGUGAUAUUCUAAAGAUGAGACUUUCUCCAGGCUUAGUGACUGUGAUAUUCUUAAUAUUUGGAAAGGCUUGCGGAGAUUCUGUGAUCCAGAAGCAAGGCCAUGUGACUGUGUCAGAAGGGGCUUUCAUGACCAUAAACUGCACGUAUACAACCACAACGUACCCCACUCUCUUCUGGUAUGUCCAGUACCCUGGAGAAGGUCCCCAGCUCCUUAUUAAAGUCACCAAGGCCAAUGAGAUGGGAAGCCACAAAGGAUUUGAAGCCAUGUAUGAUAAAGAAGCCACCUCCUUCCACUUGAAGAAAGCCAAAGUCCUAGUGUCUGAUUCCGCUGUGUACUACUGUGCUCUGGGUGACACAGUGACAGAAACCACACGGGGAGCUGAGCACAAACUGAGCUGCAGUAGGGGCCUGGCUGCUGAGCUCCUGUUCUGGGAUCUCUGUGGUUUCAGCACACUCUGA